UGAUUACCAGACGCUACGGCGUUGAAGCAGUGUAUGUCAGACUUCCAAGAAAAGCUCGCAAUGCCCGAAAUAAAAUAAUGCCUGUACCAUAACCGACACAGGUGGGUAGGUAGAGUAUACUAAGGGGCGCGAGAUAACUCUCUCUAAGGAACUCGGCAAAAUAACUCCGUAACUUCGGGAGAAGGAGUGCCUUAUUUUAAGGUUGCAAUAACAAGAUCCAAGCAACUGUUUACCAAAAACACAGGUCUCCGCUAAGUCGUAAGACGAUGUAUGGGGGCUGACGCCUGCCCAGUGCCAGAAGGUUAAAGAAGUUGGUUAGCUAUUGCGAAGCUGAUGACUGAAGCCCUGGUGAACGGCGGCCGUAACUAUAACGGUCCUAAGGUAGCGAAAUUCCUUGUCGGGUAAGUUCCGACCCGCACGAAAGGCGUAAUGAUUUGGAUACUGUCUCGGAGAGGGGCUCGGUGAAAUAGACUUGUCUGUGAAGAUGCGGACUACCUGCACCUGGACAGAAAGACCCUAUGAAGCUUUACUGUAACUUGAAAUUGAAAUUGGACUUUAUUUGCGCAGUAUAGGUGGGAGGCGUUUGAAGAUAUUCUUGCGGGAAUGUUGGAGCCAUUAGUGAGAUACCACUCUUGUAAUGUUAGAUUUCUAACUUUGUACCAUAAUCUGGUCAAAGAACAGUUUCAGGCGGGCAGUUUGACUGGGGCGGUCGCCUCCCAAAUGGUAACGGAGGCGUACAAAGGUUUCCUCUGAACGUGUAGAAAUCGUAUCUAGAGUGUAAAGGCAUAAGGAAGCUUGACUGUGAGACCUACAAGUCAAGCAGGGACGAAAGUCGGUCUUAGUGAUCUGACGGUACUGAGUGGAAAGGCCGUCACUCAACGGAUAAAAGUUACUCUAGGGAUAACAGGCUGAUCUCCCCCAAGAGUUCACAUCGACGGGGAGGUUUGGCACCUCGAUGUCGGCUCAUCGCAUCCUGGGGCGGUAGUACGUCCCAAGGGUUGGGCUGUUCGCCCAUGAAAGCGGUACGCGAGCUGGGUUCAGAACGUCGUGAGACAGUUCGGUCCAUAUCCGGUGUAGGCGUUAGAAUAUUGAGAGGAGCCUUCUUUAGUACGAGAGGACCGAGAAGGACAUACCUCUGGUGUACCAGUUAUCGUGCCAACGGUAAACGCUGGGUAGCUAUGUAUGGAGAGGAUAACCGCUGAAAGCAUCUAAGUGGGAAGCCCACCUCGAGAUGAGUAUUCUCAC
rnacentral:rRNA from 1 species